GUGAAUUCCGGCGGAAAUGAGCAUUCGGCGAUGUCCAUCAAUGAUGAUAGCUCGGUGAUCAUAACUCACAUUAAACGGUUUGAAAUACUCGCCGGCGACGGCGACGGCGAGUAACGCCGCGGCGAGUAGACGUAAGAGAGCAAUAUGACUUCGCAUAGUUUAUUAUAAAUUAUUAAUAAGAUAUAAAUAUUACAAACUGAAAAUAAUAUAGUGAGGACAGAGGAAGAGUUAAGUACAGAGAUGAAGAGUGGAUAACUAUUAUUGUCCAGGUACGCCAGAAAAGAAUGGAACUUUAACAUUAAAGUUUGUGCGUCUUUUUUCGAUGGAUGAUGUGUGUCGUUGAGGAAUGUACACCUGUCCGGGACUCCGGUAUAUAAUCUCAAACAGGGUUAAUUAUCUAAUUGGACACUCACUUAACAAAUUGCACACUCACUUAACAUUAAUAUAUCAUCCGAAACACUUUUGAAUUUUCGGUAUUUGAAAUACUGUUUUCAAAAAUUGUAUCAGUCUUAAAAAUAAAAAAUUAAAUUUGAAACAAAUCGACGACUAACGCCGCGGCGAGUAAACAUAAGAGAGCAACAUGACUUCGCAUAGUUUAAAUAAAUUAUUAAUAAUAUUUAAAUAUUACAAACCGAAAAUAAUAUAGUGAGGAUAGAGGAAGAGAGUACUGAACAUAC
rnacentral:lncRNA from 1 species